AUUGAACGCUGGCGGCAGGCCUAACACAUGCAAGUCGAACGGUAACAGGAAGAAGCUUGCUUCUUUGCUGACGAGUGGCGGACGGGUGAGUAAUGUCUGGGAAACUGCCUGAUGGAGGGGGAUAACUACUGGAAACGGUAGCUAAUACCGCAUAACGUCGCAAGACCAAAGAGGGGGACCUUCGGGCCUCUUGCCAUCGGAUGUGCCCAGAUGGGAUUCGCUAGUAGGUGGGGUAACGGCUCACCUAGGCGACGAUCCCUAGCUGGUCUGAGAGGAUGAUCAGCCACACUAGAACUGAGACACGGUCCAGACUCCUACGGGAGGCAGCAGUGGGGAAUAUUGCACAAUGGGCGCAAGCCUGAUGCAGCCAUGCCGCGUGUAUGAAGAAGGCCUUCGGGUUGUAAAGUACUUUCAGCGGGGAGGAAGGGAGUAAAGUUAAUACCUUUGCUCAUUGACGUUACCCGCAGAAGAAGCACCGGCUAACUCCGUG
rnacentral:rRNA from 1 species